GGGGAAUUUUGGACAAUGGGCGCAAGCCUGAUCCAGCCAUGCCGCGUGAGUGAAGAAGGCCUUCGGGUUGUAAAGCUCUUUCGGACGGGAAGAAAAGGCGGGCUCUAACAUAGCCUGUCGAUGACGGUACCGUAAGAAGAAGCACCGGCUAACUACGUGCCAGCAGCCGCGGUAAUACGUAGGGUGCGAGCGUUAAUCGGAAUUACUGGGCGUAAAGCGUGCGCAGGCGGUUUUGUAAGACAGAUGUGAAAUCCCCGGGCUUAACCCGGGAACUGCGUUUGGGACUGCAAGGCUGAAGUACGGCAGAGGGGGGUGGAAUUCCACGUGUAGCAGUGAAACGCGUAGAGAUGUGGAGGCACACCGAUGGCGAAGGCAGCCCCCUGGGCCUGUACUGACGCUCAUGCACGAAAGCGUGGGGAGCAAACA
rnacentral:rRNA from 1 species